GCCCUGAGAAGCAAUGUUGUAAGAUGAUGGCAAGAAGGUGUCUUGGGGAGGGAUUCGAUGCUGGCACCCCACAAUGAUAUCCUCUCUGCUUUAAUCCAUAUCGAAAGCUGUAGUGUUUUUACCUGUACCAACACUUUGUCCUCUUCCUUUCCCUCCUCGCGAGCUAGCCACAAGGUCAUUGCUUGAAUCACGCCAUGCUUUUUAACAAAAUCUCCUGAUUUACCACUCUCCAACAAACUCGCACUCUUUAGACUUUCUAAAGUGUCUUCUUCUUCUUCCCUGGCAUCAUACAUGCUGUUAAAUUUAUGUUGAAACCCUUCUGCGAUCCAGAGUUCAAUUAGUUCCUUUUUCUUAAUAACUCCUGGGAACAACGAAAAGUACAGAAAGCAAUUCCUGAGGGCAUCUGUGCUCAAGCUGUCAUAGCUUAUCUUGAGAACAGAAAAGACACUAGCUUCAACAUCUGGAAAUGAUGAUGGCUGAGUCUUCAAUUUUUCAAUUGCAAGCUUCCAAUUGCCGAGUUUGGUCUUACUAGCCAUGGCUCGACCAAUAGUGGUGAGCGAAAGCGGCAAACCCAUGCACACAUCAGCAACUUCCUCAGCCAGCAUUGAGAUCUCCCAAUGAGCAUUUAGAGUCUCCCCUCCCACUGAGAACUGAAACAAUUGCAGAGCAAGUUCUGGUGGCAAACACUCUACUUCAAUCUUAUUGUAGAUCUCUUUGAGGAGGGCGGUCUUAGCCGCACCUUCCAUUCCAUAUGACCCAAUAAUUCCCACACUUGGAUCUUCAAUCCUUCUCCAUAUUUCUUCAAGUUUGGAAUCCAACCCCAGAGUUUCAGGUACAGGCAUCUGAAUCACUAAAUCACCAGGCUUUAUCUUGACAACAGCAUCAAAUUCACCAUC
rnacentral:misc_RNA from 1 species